ACUUGGAAACAGGUGCUAAUACCGGAUAAGAAAGCGGAUCGCAUGAUCAGCUUUUAAAAGGCGGCGUAAGCUGUCGCUAUGGGAUGGCCCCGCGGUGCAUUAGCUAGUUGGUAAGGUAAAGGCUUACCAAGGCGAUGAUGCAUAGCCGAGUUGAGAGACUGAUCGGCCACAUUGGGACUGAGACACGGCCCAAACUCCUACGGGAGGCAGCAGGC
rnacentral:rRNA from 1 species